UACGUAGGGUGCGAGCGUUGUCCGGAUUUAUUGGGCGUAAAGAGCUCGUAGGUGGCUCGGUAAGUCGGGUGUGAAAUUUCGAGGCUCAACCUCGAGACGCCACCUGAUACUGCUGUGGCUAGAGUCCGGUAGGGGAGCGUGGAAUUCCUGGUGUAGCGGUGAAAUGCGCAGAUAUCAGGAGGAACACCAGCGGCGAAGGCGGCGCUCUGGGCCGGUACUGACACUGAGGAGCGAAAGCGUGGGGAUCAAACAGG
rnacentral:rRNA from 1 species